rnacentral:rRNA from 1 species
AUUGAACGCUGGCGGCAGGCCUAACACAUGCAAGUCGAACGAGUGGCGGAGGGGUGAGUAAUGUCUGGGAAACUGCCUGAUGGAGGGGGAUAACUACUGGAAACGGUAGCUAAUACCGCAUACCAUUAGCUGUGCCCAGAUGGGAUUAGCUAGUGGCUGGGGUAACGGCUCACAAAGGCAACGAUCCCUAGCUGGUCUGAGAGGAUGACCGGCCACACUGGAACUGAGACACGGUCCAGACUCCUACGGGAGGCAGCAGUGGGGAAUAUUGCACAAUGGGCGAAAGCCUGAUGGAGCCAUGCCGCGUGUAUGAAGAAGGCCUUCGGGUUGUAAAGUACUGUCAGCGGGGAGGCGUUACCCGCAGAAGAAGCACCGGCUAACUCCGUGCCAGCAGCCGCGGUAAUUC